ensembl:lncRNA
ACUUACUCAGGUCAUAUGCAGAUUUUUUUGAACUGAAUAACAGUUGUUUACUUCAAAGCUAGGCUGUAGGAAAGUAUGGCAUUUCUUUUUAGAAUCAGUUCUAUUUUAUCUUAUACUUGUGUAGAAUAUUUCUUUAGAAAAGCAAAGAGGAAUACCAGCAGCAAAGCUGGAUACAGGAUGAAUGUGGGUUUCAGAUGGGGCAACCUUAUCACCAUUUGAUGUCAGAUCCACCCUGACCAGAGCUGAUUGCAAGAGGUGGAGGCUCAGGAACUGAAGCAAUCAGAAUGGAAGAAACAUCAGCAAGUAUACAUUGAGUGCCUAAUAUGCACCAGGGGAUACAGCAGAAAAUGAGCAAAAUUCCUGCUUGAAAAGAACGUCUCCUUUAUUAGAGCAGUUGCAAGAAUUACAGACUACCUGCUUACUGCUGGUCUGGGAUGUGGCUGCUUAAAGAAUGAAAUCUCAUGACCUGCUGUGGUUAUACCCAGGUGCUGGUGCGAAUGGUCAUUAUCCUGCCUGGCUGGAAGGUCCCUGGAGGGGGAUUUGUGGCAGCAGAAUUCUCACAUUCUCUAGGUGCUGAGGAUCAUUCACUCUGAGGAAGCCAGCUGCCACAUCACGAAGAUCCUCUGGCUAUACUAUGAAGAAACUCCCAUGACAAGGAUCUAAGGCCUCGUGGCCUUAAAAGCCAUGAGAGGGAGCAUCUUGGAGCUGAUCCUCUAUACCCAGCCUUCAGGGGACUGCAGACUGCAAGGCAACAGCUUAACUGGGAGGCCCUGAAUUGGAACCAUCCAACUACCCAGCUGUGCUGCUCUGGGAUCCCUGAACAUCAGAGACUCCUUCAGAUAACAUCCAAGAGGCUGCCAGAGAAGCAAAUCUAAAAGACGCAAGUCCCUGCCCUUCCCAUCACCCACUGCCCCGGUGUGGAUCCCUUCCAAUAAGAGACAACACAGGCCCACUGGCUCUCACCAUUUAUGGAAUUGCCUUGGCUACUCAAGGGACCAGAUGUUCCCUGGGGUUGUGACCCACUGCUCCUGCAUUUAGCCUCCUGGCUGGCUGCUUGCUUGCUUGGACUCAGCCCAGUACAGAUGGCAUUACUGCUAAAUCAGAGAGAAUGACACUCGGUUUCCUGGUCCUCCUUCAAGUUGCUACUUUGUUGGCAGUCAGAGACCUCUAACUCCUUACGGAAGGUGUGGUAUUGAGGAGAAAAGAAGUAACACCAGUGUGAGUUAAGAGGGCGAGAGUGACAAGCCCAGAGGACAACGAGAUGACCAGAUCAACUCCUAUGGAGAAAAAGUGAAGCUUCCCUGAAAGUCUGGAGGAGAUUUGCUCGGUAAAGGCUAGUAAGGGAGAUGCUGCCAUGGAGUGAGGAGGACCCCAGGGACGGCAGAAUGAG